rnacentral:lncRNA from 1 species
AAACUCCUAAACAAAACAGGCCGGAAAUGACCAUUUUGAGCUCGCUGAUCUUGACUUUACAAAUAGUAAGCUUCUAUCUUUAAAAAUGCAUUAAAUGAUUUAGGCGCUUGACCUGUCUUAGCUUUACAGCUUCGUUCCCGAAAGAUCUUAUUUUAGACUUUCAAUUAUACCGAUGGCUAAUAAAUCUCUAAAAGCAAAAGCACGGUCGUCACCUCUUAUACCGCUCCUGACCCUCGAGAAACGAGCUGUUUUAACCCCUA